rnacentral:sRNA from 1 species
UUUUAGCACAAUUUCCGCGUGAGUGAUAGUAGUAGAAACCCUCCCGUUUUUCAGGGAGAUUGAAACGUAUAGCACGACCGCGC